rnacentral:rRNA from 1 species
AAGGUAGCGUAAUCAUUUGUCUUUUAAAUAGAGACCAGUAUGAAUGGCAUAACGAGGGUUUAACUGUCUCCUUCCCCUAGUCAAUGAAAUUGAUCUGCCCGUGCAGAAGCGGACAUAAAUACAUAAGACGAGAAGACCCUAUGGAGCUUUAGACAAAAGAUCAAACAUGUAAAGAAACCAAGUUAACCAAAAGGAACACAAAGGCCACGAAACCCGACGUAAACUGAUCCAAAUGUCUUCGGUUGGGGCGACCAUGGGGGAGAAAAAAGCCCCCACGAGGAACAGGGACUAAUCCCUAAGCCAAGAGAGACAUCUCUAAGCAACAGAAAAUCUGACCAAAAGUGACCCAGAAUACUAAUUCUGAUCAACGAACCAAGUUACCCUAGGGAUAACAGCGCAAUCCUUUCCCAGAGUCCAUAUCGACGAAAGGGUUUACGACCUCGAUGUUGGAUCAGGACAUCCUAAUGGUGCAGCCGCUAUUAAGGGUUCGUUUGUUCAACGAUUAAUAGUCC